UACGGGGGGGGCAAGCGUUGUUCGGAAUUACUGGGCGUAAAGGGCCAGUAGGCGGCCAACUAAGUCCGACGUGAAAUCCCCAGGCUUAACCUGGGAACUGCGUCGGAUACUGGAUGGCUUGAAUUCGGGAGAGGGAUGCAGAAUUCCAGGUGUAGCGGUGAAAUGCGUAGAUAUCUGGAGGAACACCGGUGGCGAAGGCGGCAUCCUGGACCAACACUGACGCUGAGGAGCGAAAGCCAGGGGAGCAAACGGG
rnacentral:rRNA from 1 species